AUCAAUGGCCCACCCUGAAUGUGCUUGGUCUUGUCUGAUUUUAGAAGUUAAACAGGGUCAGGCCUAGGAUAGGAGACUAUUGGCA
ensembl:rRNA 5S_rRNA 5S ribosomal RNA